GACUUAUUAUUAUCAACCAAAACUUGGGAUUAACAGGAAGCACAUGCUGGUUCGUAGAUAAAUACUAGUAUAAUACUAAUAGCGUGGUCGGUAGUUGAAGUAUUGAAGAGACUAGUGUUUUUUUGUAGUAUUAUAUAUCGUUUUCUAUAGCUAAUUAAAAACAAUAUUUAAUAUCUGAUAUAGUAAAUGUAUGAUGGGCACUUUAUAUAUUUGGUUCAAUAAUUCCGUGCUAUAGAUAUUAAUUUGAAAGGUGAUAUAGAAAUGAAAUAAAUGAAAGGGGACAUGCACAUGAUGUGGAAAUGGACAAAAACCAUACCGACUCACAAUUAUGAGAUAUCACAUGAUGAUGCGGACAAGUCAACGCUUCUUAUAUCUAGGCCUUACGUCACAAAUAGGCUGGGCUUAGCCCAGAAGACCAUGUUUAAAAAUACAAGCCCAGAACAAUUAACAAAUUCAGAAAAUAAGUUUUUCUUUGUUUUGUUUAUUCUAAACAGGCCCGUCUCUUUACUUUUUGAGGUUUCAUGCGAGCUGUAAUCAUCUAACAACACACGAAAUAUUUUGCAAAAAAAAACCAUGUGCAAAAACACGUCUUGCACUUACCUAGAAACGGACUUAAUUCUAAAGGAGGAUGGUUGGCAAGUUUCGCAGCCAUCUUCAGCGAUCUGUCAAAAUCUGCGGGAGCUGCGAAUUCAAUGUUGGCUUUCGUGCAGCCAUAUUGUCCAACAAGAUUGUCAUCUUCUCCAAGUCCUACUGUCCGUAUUUUUCAGUCCCUUUGAAUCUGAAUUUAAUUGAAGAGUAAUCCGUGUAAAGGUGUGAUUUUGUUCAGAGUCGUGCUUAUAGCCUUUAAAAAAAAAAGGCAUUUAACCUUUUUUUUUUUGGUCAAAAAGGCAUUUAACUAGGACCCCUAAUUUUGUAAAAAUUCCAGAGACCCUAAUUACAAAAAAAAUUUUUUACAUAGUACUUAAAAUAUUCUCUUAAUAACAUUUUUAUAUUUAUUUGAUUCAGAAUUUAACUUCUGUUUAAAAUAACUAUCAAUAUCUCUAUAUUUUAAAUAAAAUAAUAAAGAUUCUACUUCUAAAAAUUGCAAAUAUUUAAUCCACAUUUGUCUUCUUUUAUAUACUAUGAGUUAAUUUUAUUUUAUAUAUUUAUGGAAAUUUGGUAAAAAAAUAUGAAAUUUCGAAUAUAUAGUUUAUUAUAUUUAAUUUAAAUGCUAAGAUUUUUGUUUUUUUAACGGAUACCAACAUUUCAAUCCCAAAUUUGUAUCUUUGUUAUUAACUUACAAAUUCAUAUUUUUUAUCAUGAUUUUAAUUUUUUUAGUUUAUAACAUUUUUAUGAAGAAGAAUCAGAAACGUUGAUGUAAUAAAUUCAAAAAAAACUCAGUGUUAUAUAUAUAUAUAUAUAUAUAUACAUAUUUCAAAUGUUUAUAUGAUUCAAAUUUAAAUAAAACUAUUAUUAACAAUAUCAUGUAAAAUAUAUAUUUUUAACUCGUCUCAGGCCUCCAAAAAUCUUCGCACAGCACUGAUUUUGUUUGGUACAUUGCAUAUCUAUUGCUUUCGCUCGAAACGAAUUUGACUAAAAGGUUGAUUGUUUGUAGUUUUUGGAUUAGUUUUUGGUUUUUGUUUUUCCAAAAACCAUUUAGCAACCAAUCAAAAUUUUAAAAGAAUAGAUUCCCUAAAAUGUAGGAAAAUUAGUUUUUGCAAAUAACUGUUUUCUUAACACAAAAACCAAAAGCCAAGUUUUCAUAGUUUUUUUCUUAUCUUACGGUGGGUUUCCAAUUUUUUUUAAAUUGCUUUUAUUUUAUUUAUAUUUUAAUAUAAGAAAAAAAUAAAAAAUGAUAAUUACUGUAAUCAAAAAAGGUUUAGUAAGAUUCAUUUUCUUACUAUUGGUACUAUUUAUUAAAAUUCGUGAUAUAUAUUCUUGUAUUAAUUUUUUUUAAACAAGAAAUAAACUUCUAAAAUAAUUUUUUUUAAUAUCAGACCAAAAAAUCAUUAAUCCAAUUUUUGAGAAACCAGAAGGAUAAUAAAGUUUUAAAUUCCGAAUUCAAAAUAUAUUUAUAAUUUUAUACAGUACUUUCCUGAACUUAUAAAAGUACAUUUAAAUUUUAUUUAGUAUAUUUAAAUAAACUAGCUAUUGAUAUUUUUAUUUAUAAUAAUAUGUGAUUUAUAAAAUAUUUUAAAAAUACAACUAUUUUUUUUAACUUUUUAAUUAUGUAUUUUCAUUUUUGAACUGCAGUAAUUAUGUUGUCAUAUAUAUAUAUCAGAAUGGGGGAAUUUUACUUCUACACUUUCUUUGGUACCACAUUUCAAGUAUACCACUAGUAUGAAGACAUUUUCACAAAUACACUUUUCAUUAAUGACCAAAAGACCAUACUAGCCCUAACCUUAUCUCUCUCUCGCGAUCCUCUUUUCUUUCUCUCUCUCUCGCGAUCUUUUUUCUUCCUCUCUGCCUCCGAUUCACCGGAGAUCCACCAUCUCUCUCUCAUUCCACCGGUUCUCUGCGGUUCACUCUGCGGUUCACUUUGUCGACUCCUACUUCUGUACAAGAUUCCCAACUGGUAUGCAUCUAAUUUCUCCUUUUUUUGUUUGUGUCGAUUAAUUUUGCGAAAUUUCGAUUUUGUGGUUACUAUAGUCGAAAAUCAAACAAGAUUGCUUUAGACUUCUAAUCUGUACAUGUCGAUCUAAGAUAAACAAUUCUGAUUGUGAAAACAUUGAGUUUUGACAACUUAAGACCCUUUAUAACCCUUUGUAAAUCUGAGUUAUUUUGUAAUGUAAUUGAUAUGUUCAGUUCCUGAGAAGCUGUGUUCAAGCUUAUAUGAGAGCCACAAUCCUGCCAGCACACAUUUGCUUUAAUUGUUGGUGAAUGGUCGAUUCACAAUAAGAAAGUUGGCAGAAUCUGAAAGUUUUGUUUUUGGUUCUGCGUUUCUUAACAGUUGUGACUUACGUGUCUGUCUAGUACUCAAUGUAGCUCAAUAUGUUAAUUAUUUACUCUAAUCUCUUGCUUGUUUCUUGACCAUAAUACAACAAACAGAGCGGUAGAAUCCAAUGAGAUGUGGAAGACUCAGGAGCAAGAAAACGAAAGGCUCAAAAUAAAAUCAAGAGAGGAAAGCAGCAACAGCAGUAGCCAAAUGAAGUGGAGUAGUAGUUUCUCGAAAAGGAGUUUGGAUAAGAAAUGUAGCUCCAUUAACGAGGAGAGAAAGAUCACUCAUCAAUCAUCAUUGGACAAAAGAUUGUACUUGGAUGAUGAUGAUGAAGGUUUAGGAGAUGAUGAGAAUUGAGUCUUUUCUCCAAUCACGGAACAAACGUGGGAGAGGCUCUGUUGGUCCUAGGAUGGAUGAAAAUGUCCCUUAUCUUCCCACCGAGAAGGUUGAUCAAUUGCAAAGUUCUGAUACAAGGGAAAGGAAGGUAGUCUUGCUGCAGCUUGGGCUCUUGCUAAUCUAUAUUAUCUUGCAUGUUAGAAAGCUCUUAUAAGGGUUUAUAAAACUAUUUAUAAGAACUUAUAAAUCAUUUUUAAGGUUUUAAAAAUAUAUUUAUAAAAGUUUAUGAAUCUGUAUAUAAGGUUUGUAAAAAUAUUAUAAGAGUUUAAUAAUCUUCAUAACACAAUUUAUAAGAGUUAAUAAAUCUUUUUCAAGAGUUUAUAAAUCUUUACAAACAUUUAGAAGUAAAAUAUUCAUAAAGCUAUUAUAAGUGUCUAUAAUUCUAAUAUAAAUGUUUGUAAAUUAUUUAUAGUAAAUAAAAGAUUAUUUAUAAUGGUUUAUAAAACAAUUAAUAAGACUUUAUAAAAUCAGUCUAUAAGGUUUUUUAAAUAUAUUAUUAAAGUAUAAUUCAUUUAUAAGAGUUUAUAAAAUCCGUUUAUAAGGAUUAUAAAUAAUUAAUAAAUGUUUAUGAAUGAUUUAUGAAGAUUUAGAAAUCAUUUAUAAAUAUUUAUCAAUAGUUUAUAUAUAUUCCUCAUGUGGUGGAAAACAGCAAGAUGAUGUAGCAGAGGUUUGUGGGGAUAUUGAGUUUGCUGUAUAGUUCAUAGCUAAGAAUAAGAGCGAGUGUCUCCAAGAAGAAUGGGGAGUGUUGGGGAAGUCUCCGGAGGCGGCUUUAGAUGUGGAUCAGACGAUCUUCGUGGUUACGGCGGAAGACGUGGAGAGGAGCAAAAGACGGUGUUAUGGGCAGCAAGAAACUUCUCCAGCAAGAAGAUUUGCUUGCUUUACGUCCAUCGUCCUGCUUGGCCUGCCUCCUGCAGUGAGAAUCUUAUGCUUCUCUUUCUCUCUGACUUAACUAUUUUGUGGUGAAUUAUAGAAUAUUUAUGGAUGUUGAAUUGUUCUUGAGUGUAGAUUUGCUCAUGAAUCAUGAUUGAAUCUUACCGAGUCUAUAUAUAUAUCCUUUAGUUGA